rnacentral:ncRNA from 1 species
UUAUUGUUCGAAAGGAAAGAAGGUUAGCAUUUCACUUGAUAUGGAUGGAAAACGUCCUAGUGGCCUUUACAACAUACAAGGUAGGCAUUGUCACCUACUCUGUUGCACCUAACCAUGUUUGUCU